rnacentral:rRNA from 1 species
GACGAACGCUGGCGGCGUGCUUAACACAUGCAAGUCGAACGCGCCUGUCCUCUGGGUUUCUGGGGGGUGGGUGAGUGGCGAACGGGUGAGUAACACGUGAGUAACCUGCCCCCUUCUUCGGGAUAACGGUCUGAAAGGGCUGCUAAUACCGGGUAUUCACUGGUCUCCGCAUGGGGUCUGGUGGAAAGGUUUUUUUCUGGUGGGGGAUGGGCUCGCGGCCUAUCAGCUUGUUGGUGGGGUGAUGGCCCACCAAGGCUUUGACGGGUAGCCGGCCUGAGAGGGUGACCGGUAACAUUGGGACUGAGAUACGGCCCAGACUCCUACGGGAGGCAGCAGUGGGGAAUAUUGCACAAUGGGCGCAAGCCUGAUGCAGCGACGCCGCGUGAGGGAUGGAGGCCUUCGGGUUGUGAACCUCUUUCGCCCGUGGUCAAGCCGCGACGUGGGUCGUGGUGAGGGUAGUGGGUAAAGAAGCGCCGGCUAACUACGUG